rnacentral:rRNA from 1 species
UACGUAGGGUGCGAGCGUUAAUCGGAAUUACUGGGCGUAAAGCGUGUGCAGGCGGUCUGUUAAGACAGGUGUGAAAUCCCCGGGCUUAACCUGGGAAUUGCGCUUGUUACUGGCAGACUAGAGUGCGUCAGAGGGAGGUGGAAUUCCACGUGUAGCAGUGAAAUGCGUAGAGAUGUGGAGGAACACCAGUGGCGAAGGCGACUACCUGGCCUGUUCUUGACGCUGAGGCGCGAAAGCUAGGGGAGCAAACGGG